GUAUAGAUUUUUAUAGUCACAACAUUCUAUUAACAUACAUUGGGGUAAAUGAAGCAACAUAGACCUGGGAAGGUCUACAAAGGGUGCACAGGUGGAGAUAUAAAGAUGACAAGGCGUGCACAUGCUCCCAAGAGAACCAGCAACAACCCAUCAGGUUUAUUUCAAUAAUGAUCCUUCCGCAGGUUCACCUACGGAAA
rnacentral:misc_RNA from 1 species